CAUUGCCAAUGCAGUUGCUUGCAUUGAAGCUCCCAGUGUUCCGCACGACAUUCUCAAAUGUCAAGGGGACCCCAAUGUUUGUAAAGAUUGUUACUUCCUUUAUGGUGGAUCCCAUAAUUUUAGACUUCGGUCUCCACUUUCUGGUGUAGAAGAAUAAGACAAUCAAAGCUAGGAGAACUGAAACAAUUGCUGAUGCAGAUGCUAUCAAUGCUAUCUCAAUUGAAUUGAAACCAUUGUUCCCACUCUUUUGGCUCUGACUUGGUCCUAUCUAAGCCUGUAGCCUUGCGCCACAGUAGCAGUUCCUGGAUCUGGAGUUGGCACUGUUAGGGAGAAAACAUGGCAAGGGCGUAGAUAAGGAUUUCCAAGAACACUACUACAUUUCAUCAGAUUGUUACUCAAUGGCAGGGGCCCAGAUAAGUUGUUGAAGGACACAUUGAAUGCUGAAAGCAUGGUCACAUUUGCCAAACCAGAAGGAAUCUGCCCAGAAAGUUUAUUGUCAUUGAGCAGAAGGGCAGUAAGGUUUCUCAAGUUCACAAGAUUGUUUGGAAUCUCUCCGGAGAGCAUGUUUGAAGAAAGAUCCAGAACCUCCAAAGACUGCAACUUGCCCAACCGUGCUAGAAGGAAUAGAACCAUUGAUUUUAUUACCAGCCAAGGAAAGAUACUUCAGGCCCUUUAUUUGGCUGAGACUGGUAGGAAUCGGACCUUGCAAAAAGUUACAACUCAAGUUGAGAGAAACAAGAGACACCAUUUUACCAAUGCCAGGGGGAAUGAAACCAGUAAUCUGAUUGUUAGACGCAUCCAGAAGUUUGAGAGAUCUGCACAUGGUACCAAUAUCAGCCGGAAUCUGACCAGACAUUCUAUUGUUGCUAACAUUAAGAAUUAAUUUGUCCAAUUCAUUGCACUUCUCAAACAAAAUCCCUGGGAAUGGCCCAGACAGCUUGUUUCCUCCAGCUAAAAAUGCAUAAGUUGUUUGCUUUCCCAAUCUGACAGGUGCAAUUGGCAUAGAUUGAAGGGUACCAGUAAAAUUGUUGCCGCCAAAGUUAUGAAGAAUUGAUAUUUCACCAUCUCCCUCAAGUGACUGUAUAGGACUUCCAGACUUGGCUUUAUUUGCGAAAAAAGACAGAUAAGCAGAUGAUGGAUCAUAGAUGCCGGAGGGAUAUCCAUAAAUGGAAGGAACUGAUUCGCAACUGCCACUGUAGAAACUGGGGAUUUGACCAGACAGGGAAUUUCCACUAACAUCGA
rnacentral:misc_RNA from 1 species